GACAGAGGGUGCAAACGUUGCUCGGAAUUACUGGGCGUAAAGCGCACGUAGGCGGCUUUCUAAGUCGGGGGUGAAAUCCUGGAGCUCAACUCCAGAACUGCCUUCGAUACUGGAGAGCUCGAGUCCGGGAGAGGUGAGUGGAACUGCGAGUGUAGAGGUGAAAUUCGUAGAUAUUCGCAAGAACACCAGUGGCGAAGGCGGCUCACUGGCCCGGUACUGACGCUGAGGUGCGAAAGCGUGGGGAGCAAACAGG
rnacentral:rRNA from 1 species